UUUCAAGCAUAAAUUGAUUGUUUCUACCAGAGCACUAUGAGUCUUACACUUAAAACUCAAAGGACUUGGCGGUGCUUUAGACUUCUCAGGGGAACCUGUUUCGUAAUCGACAGUCCACGCUAUACCUUUCCUUCUUUUGUUCUCAGUUUGUAUACCGUCGUCGCCAGGUAACUUUUAAAAAUACCAGAAGUUAACAAUAAAGCCUAAUAUAAUUAGCUUUCACGUCAGAUCAAGGUGCAGCCUAUGAGAAGGCGAGAAUGGGUUACAAUUAAAAAUUAUAAUUACGGAGAAAGAAUGAAAUCUCUGCCCGAAGGAGGACUUGAAAGUAAAGAUUUAACUAUAUAAAUUUCUUGAAUUCAGCUCUGAAGCGUGC
rnacentral:rRNA from 1 species